AUUCCUUAAAAUAAAAAUAUAUAUAUACGUAGCUAUAGCUAAACGACCUACUUGCAAUAGUUUUUAUCUACAAUCUGAACCCUUUUCUGUAGAAUUUUCAUUUAUAAAAGGUAUUCAGUUUUAAUCUAUGUAGAUAUUAAGGAUUACAGAUUUACUAUGUAGGUCUAUAUAUAGAAUACAAAGAUUUUAUAAUUCUUAGAUUUUCUAUAUUACGCCCUUUUCGCCCGAAGCAAGCGUAGAAUAAUUGGAGUAUCAGCUGUGCAAGACUCAGGGCAUCUCCUAGUCGAGUUGUUUCGACUAGAGAACUUCUAUUUGUUUAAUUUCCACUUACAAUCUCGCAGGGAAUCGCUUGACAAAAUUAGUCAUACUAAUUAGCUAUACCAAUCGCUAAUUGCACAAUUGCACAUAUUACAAAGUGUUUAUAUAGUUCUCAGUCCCGUAACAUCAUGUCUGGAUGGUUUUUAGUUCUGUUUUGCUUUUUAUUUGGAUUUUCUUCUCUGCUCAGCUCUACAAAUAAUGAUACCUCUGGAGUUGCUCGCAUGCCUUGUGGCAUUUAUGAGGAAGUCAACUGCAGCACAAUCAAAUGUCAGCCUACUGAAAAGAGUGUGAAGCCUGGAUUUUGCUUACUUCCACUAUGUGUCUCUCCCCCCGGCUGUAUGUAUUAUUGUAGAGAAAUGAGUAAAUCGAUAAAGAUGAAAAUUAUUCCUUUUUGUUGAUUCUGGAAUUCGUCAUAAAUCUUGGUCUAUAUCGAUUUGAUAUGGAGCUUGGCAAAUCGAAUUAAGUUAUAUUGAAUGGAAGAACCAUUUAAUGAAACAAAUAUAAACCCUUUAAAGGUU